rnacentral:rRNA from 1 species
UACAGAGGUCUCAAGCGUUGUUCGGAUUCAUUGGGCGUAAAGGGUGCGUAGGCGGCGCGGUAAGUCGGGUGUGAAAUCUCGGAGCUUAACUCCGAAACUGCAUUCGAUACUGCCGUGCUUGAGGACUGGAGAGGAGACUGGAAUUUACGGUGUAGCGGUGAAAUGCGUAGAUAUCGGGAGGAACACCAGUGGCGAAGGCGGCUUUCUGGCCUGCUCUUGACGCUGAGGCGCGAAAGCUAGGGUAGCAAACGGG